GAUGAACGCUGGCGGCGUGCCUAAUACAUGCAAGUCGAGCGAACAGACGAGGAGCUUGCUCCUCUGACGUUAGCGGCGGACGGGUGAGUAACACGUGGAUAACCUACCUAUAAGACUGGGAUAACUUCGGGAAACCGGAGCUAAUACCGGAUAAUAUUUUGAACCGCAUGGUUCAAUAGUGAAAGACGGUUUUGCUGUCACUUAUAGAUGGAUCCGCGCCGCAUUAGCUAGUUGGUAAGGUAACGGCUUACCAAGGCAACGAUGCGUAGCCGACCUGAGAGGGUGAUCGGCCACACUGGAACUGAGACACGGUCCAGACUCCUACGGGAGGCAGCAGUAGGGAAUCUUCCGCAAAGGGCGAAAGCCUGACGGAGCAACGCCGCGUGAGUGAUGAAGGUCUUCGGAUCGUAAAACUCUGUUAUUAGGGAAGAACAAAUGUGUAAGUAACUAUGCACGUCUUGACGGUACCUAAUCAGAAAGCCACGGCUAACUACGUG
rnacentral:rRNA from 1 species